CCUACGGGAGGCAGCAGUGGGGAAUAUUGGACAAUGGGCGAAAGCCUGAUCCAGCAAUGCCGCGUGAGUGAUGAAGGCCUUAGGGUUGUAAAGCUCUUUUACCAGGGAUGAUAAUGACAGUACCUGGAGAAUAAGCUCCGGCUAACUCCGUGCCAGCAGCCGCGGUAAUACGGAGGGAGCUAGCGUUGUUCGGAAUUACUGGGCGUAAAGCGUACGUAGGCGGUUAUUCAAGUCAGAGGUGAAAGCCUGGAGCUCAACUCCAGAACUGCCUUUGAAACUAGAUAGCUAGAAUCUUGGAGAGGUGAGUGGAAUUCCGAGUGUAGAGGUGAAAUUCGUAGAUAUUCGGAAGAACACCAGUGGCGAAGGCGACUCACUGGACAAGUAUUGACGCUGAGGUACGAAAGCGUGGGGAGCAAACAGGAUUAGAUACCCUGGUAGUCCACGCCGUAAACGAUGAUAACUAGCUGUUCGGGCUCUACGAGCUUGAGUGGCGCNGCUACGCAUAAGUUAUCCGCCGUCGGGAGGUACGGUCGCGAGAAUUAAACUUAAAUUAGUAAGUUAGUACGGCGUGAGACGUGCCGACGGACGACGACGAGGGAGGUUAGG
rnacentral:rRNA from 1 species